AUACUCCUGGUCUUUUGCAGAAGACAGGGGAGGUCAUUUUCCUGUCUGAUAAACUUUAAAAACAUGUUUGAUGCAAGAUGCACCCAGCAAUGAAUUUUAAAACUGCUACAGAGUGGAACAACAUACAACAUGGUUAAAUUUGUGCUUCAGCUAUUUAAAUAUUAAAUAGAAUGCAGCCCUCCCCCCCAGCAACAGAUUUUCAAGAAAGAUGGGAAUAAAAGUGGGAUGUAACCAUAUCUUCCUCUUCAGUGUAUAUAACAGCAGCCUAGUGCCUUGACUGCAGUAAUCUCGUAAUCUAAAUCUUCAAUGAAACUACCCCCAAGUCUGCAAAAGAACCAAUAUUUACUAUAAACCUGCUUCAAAACAUAGGCUGUGCAGGUCAACUAGGCAAAGACAAUGAUCUUUAGGAGAAAAAGCUAUGCCAACCAAAAUAAUUCAAC